rnacentral:rRNA from 1 species
UAGGGAAUCUUCGGCAAUGGGGGCGAACCCUGACCGAGCAACGCCGCGUGAGUGAAGAAGGUUUUCGGAUCGUAAAGCUCUGUUGUAAGAGAAGAACGUGUGUGAGAGUGGAAAGUUCACACAGUGACGGUAACUUACCAGAAAGGGACGGCUAACUACGUGCC